rnacentral:lncRNA from 1 species
AUUGGUGUUUAGUAGAGUAGUAACAAACAGAAGAAGAAACAAAAACAAGGGUAGGCAGUAAGAUGUGAAUGGUAUUUAAUUGGGCUUAUUUACCAAAUAACUAAAAAAAAAAAGAAAAUUUAGAUUUUGGGAGAGAGAGUAGAGAGAGAUAGGAAGAGAAAAUAGGAGAGGGGAGGAAAUUUUGGUUAGUUAGUAUAUUUAUGUUUUUUUCAUGUAUAUAGGGCGCAAUUUCC